ACACAUGCAAGUCGAACGGGAAAUAUUUCAUUGAGACUUCGGUGGAUUUGAUCUAUUUCUAGUGGCGGACGGGUGAGUAACGCGUGGGUAACCUGCCUUAUACAGGGGGAUAACAGUCAGAAAUGGCUGCUAAUACCGCAUAAGCGCACAGAGCUGCAUGGCUCAGUGUGAAAAACUCCGGUGGUAUAAGAUGGACCCGCGUUGGAUUAGCUAGUUGGUGGGGUAACGGCCCACCAAGGCGACGAUCCAUAGCCGGCCUGAGAGGGUGAACGGCCACAUUGGGACUGAGACACGGCCCAGACUCCUACGGGAGGCAGCAGUGGGGAAUAUUGCACAAUGGGGGAAACCCUGAUGCAGCGACGCCGCGUGAAGGAAGAAGUAUCUCGGUAUGUAAACUUCUAUCAGCAGGGAAGAUAGUGACGGUACCUGACUAAGAAGCCCCGGCUAACUACGUGCCAGCAGCCGCGGUAAUACGUAGGGGGCAAGCGUUAUCCGGAUUUACUGGGUGUAAAGGGAGCGUAGACGGUGCGGCAAGUCUGAUGUGAAAGGCAUGGGCUCAACCUGUGGACUGCAUUGGAAACUGUCAUACUUGAGUGCCGGAGGGGUAAGCGGAAUUCCUAGUGUAGCGGUGAAAUGCGUAGAUAUUAGGAGGAACACCAGUGGCGAAGGCGGCUUACUGGACGGUAACUGACGUUGAGGCUCGAAAGCGUGGGGAGCAAACAGG
rnacentral:rRNA from 1 species